rnacentral:snRNA from 1 species
UCUAUUACCUGGUGGGGGAGAUACCAUGAUCACGAAGGUGGUUUUCCCAGGGCGAGGCUUAUCCAUUGCACUCCGGAUAUACUGACCCCUGCGAUUUCCCCAAAUGUUUGUGGUAGUGGGGGACUGUAUUCACGUUUUCCCCUG